AUCGUUCUUUUUUAUUCAGUUUUGUUUUAUACUUUCGUUCUACCUCUCAUUAAAAUCAGUAACAAAAUAAAAAAGGAUAAUGAUUUGUACUGUCCACCACAUCAACGGUUUGUUACAUGUUACAGAAAAAUCAUUUAUUGUUUACAUUAAAUAAAGUACACAAAUUAGUGAUGAGACACAACAACACAUCUGUUUUCUUGAUUUUUCAUUAAAAUAAUCAUUAUGUUUACAUUCAACUAGAAGCACACGUAGUUAUGGUAAUAAAUGAUACUUCAGUGCAGGUAAUCUCACCAUGCGUUUAAUUACUUAUACAUCACACUAAUGACGUUGCAACACCGAUAAUUUUGGAACGCCACAGCAGCUUCAUGAUAACAAUAACCAUAUCAUUUUGGGUAAAGAUAUAUCAUGAAGCAAAUGUUCUAUACUAUAACGACAUUUGACUAUAAUACUCUGUCAUUUAACUAUAUCACUAAGAUAAAUGUAUAUACUAUAAAGAC
rnacentral:lncRNA from 1 species